rnacentral:rRNA from 1 species
UACGUAGGGGGCAAGCGUUGUCCGGAAUUAUUGGGCGUAAAGAGCUUGUAGGCGGUUUGUCGCGUCUGCUGUGAAAUCUCAAGGCUCAACCUUGAGCUUGCAGUGGGUACGGGCAGACUAGAGUGUGGUAGGGGAGACUGGAAUUCCUGGUGUAGCGGUGAAAUGCGCAGAUAUCAGGAGGAACACCGGUGGCGAAGGCGGCAUCCUGGACCGAGAUUGACGCUGAUGAGCGAAAGCUAGGGGAGCAAACGGG